rnacentral:piRNA from 1 species
UCAGAAAUAACAACUGGUGCACAGGGCCUG